rnacentral:lncRNA from 1 species
AUCAAGCCAAAAAAAUCAAAAAGAAGUUUGAGUAAUAAAAGUUUCUCUUCUCCAAAAUCUUUCUACUCUUUCAAAAUUCCCUUAGCCUAAAAGCCUCCCUCCAAAUACUAAUAGCAAUCCUCUUCCAACAGGCCCAUUGUUGAAAGAAGGCAUUGCAAAAAUUGCUGAUGCGCGUGAUUUUGUCUGAGUUUUUUUGGAAAUUGUACUAUUUUCCACUCAUUAGCUGGUUGUGUGAGGGAAUUUGAACCAUUUGGCAGAAUUGUUGAAGUUGAUUGUAAUGGAGAAGGAGAGUUUUGGAUGGUUUUUGGCAGUGGAGAGAAAGAACAAAUAUUUUUAUUAUGUUUAUGCUGGUCUCGAGCAUAUUCAAUCCUUCGUAAAGGAUUGUUUGCCUAUGGUUGCCAAUAAGAAUAUGAGUUUUUAAUGGCUGAUUUAGAGGCACUUCAACACAGAGCGGGGGAUAACGACCCCUGGCUGUUGAAGUAGUACAUGUAUCAAUAGUUAGUAGUUUCCGUAAUUUUAUUACCUACUCUUUGUAAGAUUUAAAAAUCAUAAAAUUCAGUAUGUAAUUUAGGCAGAUGCAACCAAAUUGCAGAAUAUUGUAACAUGGUUUCAGAUUCCAUGAACUUUAGCGUAUAUUGACGAACAGAUAGAAAAUGAUAUAAAACAAACCAAGG